AGAAGUGUGGCACAGUGGUUUGAGUGUUGGACUAUGACUCUGGGAACCAGGGUUCAGUUCCCAGCUCUGCCA